UACGAAGGGGGCUAGCGUUGCUCGGAAUCACUGGGCGUAAAGCGCACGUAGGCGGCUUCUUAAGUCAGGGGUGAAAUCCUGGAGCUCAACUCCAGAACUGCCUUUGAUACUGAGGAGCUUGAGUCCGGGAGAGGUGAGUGGAACUGCGAGUGUAGAGGUGAAAUUCGUAGAUAUUGGGAAGAACACCAGUGGCGAAGGCGGCUCACUGGCCCGUAACUGACGCUGAGGUGCGAAAGCGUGGGGAGCAAACAGG
rnacentral:rRNA from 1 species